GAUCGAAUGGGGAGAUUCAUCGUCAGCGCAUUUUGUAUAUGUAUAAGUUAUGAUGCUGGUUACUCUUGUAGUAUUGCUUGUACAUACUUGCACAUUUAUUUGCAUUAUGUUGUCGGCGUGCACUUCUCCCCUAGUAGGACGUCGCGACCCGUUGGGUGUUGGUCUACGGCUCAAGUGGUAGCCUUUAAUGUUUAACAACAUUAAAGACCCUUGGUGUUUUCUGACCAACUGCCCGGCGGUACUCGUACGGUACUUAGCCGCAUUUUUAUGCGUCCAUAUCCGUCGCAAGCGAGGCUAGUUUCUGACAGUACGGACCUAGUGCCGUCGUUGGAGCUAGCCAGCUGUUGGUUGUUACGGUAUUCUAGGACUGGCUAAAAUUAUUACCGGUCGGCGAUGCUACUGCUUUGGGUACUUUCAGGACCCGUCUUGAAACACGGACCAAGGAGUCUAACAUGUACGCGAGUCAUUGGGAUUUUUUUUAAAUUAAACCUAAAGGCGUAAUGAAAGUAAAGGUUGUCCUUGCGUCCAC
rnacentral:rRNA from 1 species